CUCUCCUUUUGCCUGGGCCUCACAUAUUUUGGGUAUCGUAACAAAUUGCUGGGCCCCACCACUGGGAGAUGGGAGGCUUGUGCAUGGAUCCUGCCUAUGUGGGGACCUUUUGAUACUUAUCUGCAUCUAUCACUUAGAAGAUAUGACUUUCCUACCUGCACCCUGCCCACAAGGAAGAUUGGGAACUAUCACUAGGCCAUGCGUCCAGGUUAUGUAACUCGGCUGCCCGUGUUCUGCUUUCAGGAGGGAAUUGUCACAAUCUCUUCUACAGGCAAUGCCCAGGGCCAAGGCAGAAAACUUACAUCACCUUUGUGUUCGGCCCAGCAAUACAUCAAAAUCGCUCCUGUGGACACAACCUUGAAAAAAGAGAAGAGUCACAUCAGCUAGGUGCUAGGCCUAGUGAUAUGUCACAAUCCCCACUGUGAACAGGGAUAAGAACCAAGGCAGAGAUUAAUAGUCACAUCGCAUAGUUGAUGGAUGAAGAAACGUGUCACAAGACCCCCUGUGGUCAGGACUCAGGCAGGAGCCUCCCAUCCUUUAGGUGUUUUGCCCAGUAAUAUGUCACAAUACAUAAAAUAUACUAAACUGAGGCAAAAGACCAGGGUCACAUCACCUAGGUGCUGGGUCCAAUGAUAUGUCACAAUCUCCAAUUUUGGGAGAGCAAGGGCAGAGUUUUCAUAUCACCUAGGUGAUGAAUGAAAAGACACAUAAUACCCCUGCGAGCAGGGUGUUGGACCUAGUGGUAUGUCACGAUAACCAACAAAUGCGGGUCCCAGGAAGGAGAGAACAGGUACAUACCUGAGUGCUUCACUAGCAAUAAAUCACACUCUGCCUGGAAAGAGCUCUAGCAUUAUAGGAGGGUUACAUCGCUGAGGUGCUGGGUCAAGCCAUAUGGCACAAUACCACCAGAGGUGAUGGCCCAGGCAGGAGUCACAAUACCUAAGUGAGGGGUCCAGAAAUAUGUCCCAAUUUUCUUCAUGGGUAAGGUUUAGGGUAGAAGAGAGUAGCAUAAACUAUGGAAUCAGGUCUUGGGCAAAGCAAUAUGUCACAACAACCACUGUGGACAGGUCCCAGGAAAAA
rnacentral:lncRNA from 1 species